rnacentral:lncRNA from 1 species
UUACUUCCUUUCAUUUUAUUGAGUGUCAAUCUAUAUAAUUAAUAUAAAGUUUCUUCAUUCUAUGAAGAUCAAGACACCUUACAGUAUAAAAUUCCCUGAGAUAAAAUAUGCAAUUUGAGUGAUCACAUAAUUCUCUAUUCCAUUUACAUCAUAACCAAAAGGUAAUGGCAAUUCUUCUUCUUAUAAAACCCAGAAGAUAACAACCUUCUUUUCUCUCCCUCCACCCCAAUAUUUUAAGGCAUGGAAUAAAAACUUUUUCAAAAUGUAUUAAAGGAAACUUUUCUACUAAAAAUAGAAAAUAGCUUUCCCCAGUUUUUACAACUGGAUUGUAUACAUCAUCUGCAAUGCCUUGUGGAGUCUGGUACCCAAUGUACAAACCAGUUCAUUCAGGCAAACUUUACAUUUAUCACUGAACUAGAGCUCUACAAAAUGCAUUACAAAAGCCAGUCCUUUGCCUGAAACACUAUUAGCUCAUGGUGUGGAUGACCAAAAAUCAGAGAUCUAUAGAAAUUCUGAAAUGCUGACUUCUACAUCUAUAGGCCUGGGCUGAGUUUCCUCCCAAAUGGAAAGCCACAAAUUUGCAACAUCCAUGUAAGAAUGAUGAAAUUAGAAAAGACUUCUCUUCUCCCAGUGCAAGUGCUCUACAAUAAUUAUUACAAAUCUGCAGUUUUCACUGUACAGUUCUUGAAAAUUCUCAAUGCACAAUUUACAAAUACUGUGCAACUCUGACACUUUACCCAAAUGAUGCUUUAAUUGCUUUGUAGCACUUUUCUGAAUUUUACAAAAAUAUUACCUCAAAGAUUUCAACUCUUUUUUUUAGAGAGGCUGAGAAGAAAAUUAACAUUUGUGAUCUCUGGAAAUUCCCAUGCUCCUGCAGCCUAAUCUUCUGCAUGUGGCAUUACUAAUGAUUACACAGAAGAACUGUGUGCCUGGAAAUUUUCACAAAAUGCUAAAAAAAUUAGGAGGACUGAAAAAAAUUGCACUGAUUUCAGCAGACUGAUUAAAAGUAGUGUAAUCUUAAAUAUUAUUUCAUUACUUUUAAGAUUGGGGUUUUGUAUAUAGUCCUGCAAAUUUUGACAAAAAAUUAAUAGAAAAAAAAUACUAUACAUUCAAAGGAAAAGAGGGAACCUAUCAUCCUGACACUUGGGUAUUAUUCUUAAUACUAUACCUAUAUUGGAGUUUUAAAAAUAUCAAACCCAGUAUUAUGGGAGUAGUAACUACUGAUUGAAAAACAGAUGACCAUGCCAUUAAGAACACUCUUGUACUUUAAACAAUCACUUUAUACCUCUUAGAGUGAAAGUGCAGCAUUAGGAAUCAUCCCUACUAUAUUCCACAUUGCAUAGAUUGUUUUCACUCCCUUUGAGUAAAUAUUCUACAGCAGCUCUGGCACUGACAACAAAAAAUUCAUCAAGUACUUUCAGCCAACCCUCCUUGCACUAAAGCAGAAGGGAGUAAUUGGAGAAGCCUGCAAAAUCUGAACUGUUAAACUGUGCAAAUUGUUAAUGAACUUCAUUAUUAUUCCUUUUUUUUUCCAAUAAUCCUUGGCUCCAUGAGUAUCUCAUCAUGGGGAGUAUCUAAAUAGAAGUAAAUUACAGUAGACUGCCAGCUCAUAUAUCUUAAAAGCACUCAUCCAACAUCCCAUACUGCUUAAAUCAAAUUUAAUCCUUUCCUAACCUAAAUAUGACUCACAAAUGCCAGCAAGGUUGCCCAUCUUUUAUUUGCAACUGACUUUCUUCUUUUCCC